CAAACUAUUGUUUAUUUGACUCCAGGGUUGAAGUGGACACAUUGUGGACCAUUGACAAACUACGAGUACGAUCACCCUCAGCAUACACUUUACAUUGCCAAGACUGGUAGGAGCUCAGAUGGUUGACUGACUGAGACUUGAAGACACCUACAUUAUUUGAGUCGGUCUAGUACUUCCAGCAGAGACAUGGAUGACUCCUUACUUGCGACAAUUCAUGCACAGUUUCUGUCAAUGAUGUCAGUCAGGAAUUUUGUGUGGAUGGUUUCAGACCAGUUUGUGGUGGAUGUCCUACAAUGCGUGGAAUCACAAAUUCAAAUACUCAAAGUGACAGUGAAGUGUGAUAUCUGCAACAAGUACCCUCCUUCAUUGUCAUACCAACAGUCUUUUCUUAAGUCCCUCAUACAAAAGUGUGAGGCGAGUGAUAGUGAGCUUGCUGAUGAGAUAUAUGAGACGUACACUGCACUGCUCAGCACACCACAGCCAGAGAUGCAAGACUGCUGCUACAGGACCUACAUAGUGUCAGAUGAGAGUUGUACAGUGACUCUGAAAGAAUCGGUCAGCAUGAUAUCCCUGGGUACCACGGGGCUCAAUACCUGGCCUGCUGCCAGCUACUUGACAGAAUGGGCCAUGGAGAACCAGGACAUAUUCUCUGGGAGAUCUGUUCUGGAACUUGGCAGUGGCAUGGGGCUGACUGGUCUAGCCAUCUGCAAAGUCUGCCAGCCAGCUUGCUAUGUCUUCUCUGACUGCCAUGACAGUGUACUGAGAGGUCUCAGAGACAAUAUUGACAUUAAUGUCCCAGAUUGGGACUCGAGGGAAGAACCCAAGAAAUUUCCUUCCGAAGGACUGGGUGCAUCUGAAGAAGGAAAAGCAAAGGAAACAGUCAUUGCUGUAGAAUGUCUGGAUUGGGAAGCGGUGCAAGAUAAAGCAGUCCAGAGCUGGAACUCUGGAGUCAUUCUAGCAGCAGAUGUGGUGUAUGACACCAGAAUCAUUGAGCCAUUAGUCCACCUGCUGCACAUGUUACUGCGAUGUCAGGGGGACGGCCAGGGAAGACCUGUGGCAAUUGUGGCAUCCACUGUCAGAAAUAAGGAGACAUAUGCUGCAUUCCGGGAGGCUGUAGAGAGAUGCAACAUUUUGGUUGAAAAGAUCCAUGGUCCAAAACACAAGACAUUACACUAUGACCGAAGCUGUCCCAUAGAGUUGCUGCAUUUACAUGUCAGCACGACACACACAUAACAGUGUUUUAAGGACGGUAUUGUCAAACUCAAGAUGCAAAGAUCUGAAGCCCUGCACCAGUUGCCCCAGCUCAUGCAGUGCUGACAUUGGGGAGGGCUGUACAUGUACAGAACAUGCUGUAGUUCUGUGCACCAGAAGUCAUCAGUGUACAAGCCGUUGGUGUGGGUUGUCAGAGAUUCCGUUGUGCAGUGGACCUGCUGGGUUGCAGCCUCAUCAGCUGGGGAAAUGCUGUACGACGUGGUGAAUGUCCGUUGGCUGGGGAAGCGGGGCCUACACCUGACCGAGCUCAAUGACUGUUUGCAUCACUGCUGGGAGUCCCAACAAUCCAACCGGGACUACAUUAUAAUCAAUGUUGGUACCAACUAUCUGGGGAUUCCCCCAAAACAGCAAUCUUGGAGGCAAACAAAUGUGUGCUGACCGUCUCGCGGCCUUAUUGCCCAAAACUAUGACGUUUUGGUCGGUCAUUUUGCCGCCCGCCAACUACUACCUUGGCGCACACCGCCAGAACAAGGUCGAGCGUGCCCAAUGGGCCAUCAAUCAUUGGGUAGAAAACUUAAUAAAUAAAUUGCCAUUUUUUAGAAAGUACAAAAUGACAUUUUUUCGGUCCGACCCAGAAUUCUUCCACUUUUGUCCAUUAUCUUAAUUAUCACCCAUCCUUCAGAUCAAUGAAACACACAAAAAAGAAAGAUUGUGACACUCCAAUUUCUUCAAAGGCAUCAGAAAGAGAAGAAACUUCUCUUUUUAUUAGGCAAUUCUCGUUAAACUAGUUAAGCCAAAAAGUAAUGACAAAACUUCACUUUCAUCCAUUGAAUUAAAUAAACAUUUAAAUUAAUGUUACAAAUGUCAUAUUUACAACUUCGCCAGAGUUCUUACAAUUACUUAUGAUAAAAGACAGUUUAACUUCUACACAAUGGUAAUUGGUCGAUUGGUAUUUGUAUUCAAAGAAGAAGCACAACCUACUUUUAAUCCACUUCAUAAUCGAGGUUGGUUUUACUUAAAUCCGGUUGAAUAUUAUCAACCAAAGUGAAAUAACCCUGUGAAGUUAAUGCAGUGACAGAAAUUCAGAAGUUAGUUUGUAUGUGUCAUUUCAAACUUUCAAAUGUUAAAAAAAAAGAUAAAAAUCUGUUUGUACCUUUUCCAAAAUGUUUAACUGAGGGACCUUGUUUUUGUGCCGUCUACUAUUAAAAGUUGACAAACUCGUAUUGGUUCAUAAUAAGGCUGUUACUCACUGAAGGUUGAAAUGUUUAUCCCUUUUAACACUUAACACUUUAGUACAUGUAAUGCACACUAUACUUAAAUAAUAAACCACUCCUUUAGACUGUAUGUAAUUUAUGAAUGUUGAAAUGUUUAACCCUUUAGUUACUGUGAAAAUAAUUGGUUUCACAGAUAAUAAAACCAUUUUCCUUUUCAGGCCCCUUUAACAUGUAGAAUAGUAUCAUUAGAAACUGAGAAAGAGAAAGGGCCAUGUGGAAAGCACCAGUCCAUUUUACAUGCACCAUUCCACUUUCUGUGCUUUUUAAAGGGGGGGGGGGGGGGGCUCAAAAGGGGCUAGAAAAAAUGCAGCAAAUUAUAUUGAACAAUUGCUUUAAAAGAAGCAAGCACACACACUAAGCUUACAUUACAAAGAAAACUGCACCAAGUUAGCACAAGGUUGUGGGUUCAGAUCCCACCUGAGUAAGAUUGGGAACUUAUUUUUUCUCCCAAGCUCUGAGAUGGCACCGAGUAUGCAGUGCUAAUACAUAAUAUACAACAGAAUUAUCACUGCUGUUGAAGGGGGGGGGGGGGAGAGCAGAAAAAACUAAGUUCUGUGCGCAUUUUCACAGCCAUAGUUUGACCAAUGGCUGAACUAUAGAUGGCUGCCACGGUAAAACAAAAUCAAAAAUUCAAUUCACAAAAAGUUGUCAAAAUAUCCAACAUUAUUUAACAAUGGAAAAACAAAACUACAAAAACUAGAUGACAACAGUUCCCUCUAAAACAUGUCAUUUUGGCCAAAACUCGUUGCCAACCACUUUUGACACGAUGCUUGUAUUAUCCUCUUUAUUUAAAGAAAUCUAGAUUCUCUACCUGUUCACCAUGUACACAUAUUCUUUCUUAAAUUGUCUUUUAAAGUUGAACAAAGAAAAUUGACUGGAGUGGGGUUCGAACCUGCCACCUUUGGAUUGCUGUUCAGGUGCUCUACUACCAAGCUAUCCAGCCCUAUGUUAGUGGUUCCCUAUUUUGUCAAUAUCGUCAUUUACUGGCAUCGUGACUUUGGGCAUGAUCCUUGGCAUACAGGGUAUAUGGCUUCUGACUAGCGCCCCUUGAACAAAGGUAUUGACAUAGGGCUGGAUAGCUCAGUUGGUAGGUACAGUAAUAUGGAGGUCGCUGCUUCAAACACUGCUCAAGUCAAUUUCUUUGUUAGAGUUGUAAAUUUCCUUUGUUCUUGUUUCUUUAUUUCUAUUGUAUAAUGUAAAAUAUCUUACAGUAAGGUUUUGAAUUUUGAUCCUAGUGAAGCACCUUGUAAGCCUAUUAUUAUAUGAGUUUUUUUUUCAUGCUUAUUCAGGCUUUGGUUAUAAUUUUUAUCAAAUAUAAUGGGAUUUUCCAUUAAUAUUCGUAUGAACAGUCAAUAAAUAUAUUACUUUAAUAAUAAAUACCAACCCGAUUGAACACCAGUUCUGGUUUUAAUUAUAAAUAAAUAUCUAUGUACAAUUCGUAUUUAUACA